UACGUAGGGCGCAAGCGUUGUCCGGAAUUAUUGGGCGUAAAGAGCUCGUAGGCGGUCUGUCGCGUCCGUUGUGAAAACUCGAGGCUCAACCUCGGGCUUGCAGUGGAUACGGGCAGACUAGAGUGCGGUAGGGGAGAACUGGAAUUCCUGGUGUAGCGGUGGAAAUGCGCAGAUAUCAGGAGGAACACCGAUGGCGAAGGCAGG
rnacentral:rRNA from 1 species